rnacentral:rRNA from 1 species
CACGUAGGGCGCAAGCGUUGUCCGGAAUUAUUGGGCGUAAAGAGCUCGUAGGCGGUCUGUUGCGUCCGCUGUGAAAACUCGGGGCUUAACCCCGAGCCUGCAGUGGAUACGGGCAGACUAGAGGUAGGUAGGGGAGAAUGGAAUUCCCGGUGUAGCGGUGAAAUGCGCAGAUAUCGGGAGGAACACCGGUGGCGAAGGCGGUCUCUGGGCCUUACCUGACGCUGAGGAGCGAAAGCGUGGGGAGCGAACA